rnacentral:lncRNA from 1 species
GAAUGCUGUACAAUUAUGUGAAUGUUUACCUGCUGGUUGAGCUUGGACAGUCCACUCAACACCAUCCUCCCAGCGUGGGUGAGGUAAUUAAGGGAGGUACUGUCUGAGGAUGUCAGAGCCUGUGAGAACAAGACAGUACAUUUAGAAAUAGUACACAAAUGUACCAUGUCAUUGGACUUAGGUUAAAAGUUGGGUGAAAAAAAUACGUUAAUGACUUUUUUCAAUUACAAUCUGUUUUCCAUGUUGAUUCAACAUCAUCACAUUACAUUUUUGUUGUUGAAAUGACAAGGAAACAACGUUGAUUCAACCAGUGUUUGCCCAGUGUUUUACAUUUAGGCAAUAGUGAUUCGUAAGGUUUAGUUGAAAAGUUCCAAUGUCUUACAAGCCAAACAGUCAGAAUUACAGACCUGAAUCUUUGAGUUUAUGAUCCACGUUCUAAGGAAUUUUAUGGUUGUUUUGUUUUGAGGAUGUGAGGCAGUUUCAGCAGGCCUAUGACAUCCUGGUGAACUUCAUUAAUGAGCCAGCAAACAGGGAGCGACUAGAGCUGGAGAUGGCUCUUGUAGGAGUAGGUUUACAUACAAGCUUGAGCGUUAGCUGCAGGCACCGUCUGCUCAUCCAACAUCUACUCAAUGAGACUUUCUAAAGUGCUUGUCAAUGAAAAUGAUGUAAUUAUCUUAUUUGUUCGACUUCAGAUCAACCACAUCAACUUCACGGAUGUAUUUUAUGAAUUCGUUCUACUAAGCCUUCUAGAAGGAAAAACAUCUCUUCCAACAUCUAGGCCUGGUACCUUCUUUUAUCUGCUCAUGGAAGUGAUCAUGAGGAUUCGCCCUCCUGGAGGAGCCUGGACAGAGUCUGCUGGGAACUUCUACCUCCUCAUUAAGGAUCAGAUGAAGGCGUGGUUGGACUCCAUCUUCAACCUUGAUGAGUCCAUCUAUGAAAGCCCACAGAGGCUCUCGUGGCAGGUGAUGGUGAAUCUAGAAAUGCAGGUUGACUUCCUCCUGUCCAGCCUGGAUUAAGGGUCCCAAACUGAGCUGAGGAUCCCAAACAUAAAAUAAAAGUAUUUUGCAUUUAAA